ensembl:lncRNA
UAAAAUUAGAUUGUGUUUACCAUACAAUUGUAAUUUNUAUUUUCUAGCGAAGGACAUCAGGAGUCUGAUGUAGUACACAGCAAAAAAUCCAGAGUGAAAUCAACUCUGCUGGGAGUACAUGUGAGACCACACUGAAGAGUGUGAAAGUGUUAAAAUAUGAGUGUUAAAUUAACACUGAAGCAGAGUUAAAGUUAAUGUAAUAAUAAAGUGAUUAAUUGAGUGAUGAUUGACCAUUAUUGACGAAACCUGAUGUUAACAAGCAGAAUCAACAAAGACGAAAAUCACUAUUUUAAUGUCACCAUUAUAGUGGCCAAUGUUUGCUUUAGUUGGGCUCUUGACCCUUAAGAUUUCAAAGUCAGAUUUUGUUUGGCUGUUGUAAUGGAGUUAUAAAACAGAUGGGCAAACAAAAAAUAUUGUUUUUCCUGAAUACAAUCUGUGGAAUUUCUUAAAAGUUGUUUGUUCAAAAAUCUUUCAAAAGAGUCUUUCAUUUAGACAUGCAAACAUCAAGAAUCAACCUGUGAACCUCAACGACGGUGACAAUCAAAAUAGCAUGUUGCAGGAGACUUGUGUUGCAGUGCAUUCUGGGUGCCACCUAUCAAAAUUCAUCCAUGGCUCCCAUGAUGCACCGCGGCAUGAAUAAAUUAUUAGCUGAAUUGUCUUAGUAAUUUCCUUUAUUCUUACUAAUCUAUUUUUGUUUUCUAUGCUACUUUUAGUAGUUUGUUUUCUAAUGUUUAGACCUAACGUUUUAGGUUUAGGCUUUAAAUAAGUUCAGUGAUUCAGGUCAAAUAUUUAUUAUGUAAAAACAUAAUAUCGCAUGAUCAUGUUUUUAUUUUUGCUCGUCUCUCUAUUAUAACUGAGUUAUAACAGCCAAACGAAAUCUAACUUUAAAAACGUAAGAGUCAAGAGCACAACUAAAGCAAACACUGACCACUAUAAUGGUGACAUAAUUUUUUUUUUGUUUUUUGUCUUUGUUGAUUCUGCUUGUUAACAUCAGGUCUCGUCAAUAAUGGUCAAUCAUCACUCAGUUAAUCACUUAAUUAUCUCAUUAACUUUAACUCCGUUUCAGUGUUAAUUUAACACUCCUAUUUUAACACUUUCACACUCUUGAGUGUGGUCUCACAUGUACUCCCAGCAGAGUUAAUUUCACUCUGGAUUUUUUGCUGUGUGGAUACUUUUUUUACUCAAGUAUCUAUUAAGAUUAUUACUUUUACUUGAGUUAUUAUUUAUAGAAGUACUCAUACUUUUGGAUACUCUGCCAACCUCUGUUCUUU